GCAUUAGCUAGACGGCGGGGUGACGGCCCACCGUGGCGACGAUGCGUAGGGGUUCUGAGAGGAAGGCCCCCCACACUGGGACUGAGACACGGCCCAGACUCCUACGGGAGGCAGCAGUGAGGAAUAUUGGUCAAUGGGCGGAAGCCUGAACCAGCCAAGUCGCGUGAGGGAUUAAGGCCCUGCGGGUCGUAAACCUCUUUUGCCGGGGAGCAGUGGUCCGGACGCGUCCGGGCCGGGAGAGUACCCGGAGAAAAAGCAUCGGCUAACUCCGUGCCAGCAGCCGCGGUAAUACGGAGGAUGCGAGCGUUAUCCGGAUUUAUUGGGUUUAAAGGGUGCGUAGGCGGGCAUUUAAGCCGGCGGUCAAAUGUCGGGGCUCAACCCCGGCCUGCCGUCGGAACUGGGUGCCUUGAGUGGGCGAGAAGUAUGCGGAAUGCGUGGUGUAGCGGUGAAAUGCAUAGAUAUCACGCAGAACCCCGAUUGCGAAGGCAGCAUACCGGCGCCCUACUGACGCUGAGGCACGAAAGUGCGGGUAUCGAACAGGAUUAGAUACCCUGGUAGUCCGCACAG
rnacentral:rRNA from 1 species